rnacentral:lncRNA from 1 species
AUGAGGUUCGGAAAGCUCCAUUUUCCCUGGGAAGCAUGGUGGUGGAGAGCCGUGCUGGAGCCUGUGUAUGCAUGGCAGGCAGGGACACAAGCACUGGGGACAUGGUGGCAGCAUGGGGCAGCCUGCUGGGCCUCCCAGCCCAGCGCGGGGUGCUGCUCCGCAUCCGCCCCAGGGUACUUUGGAGCAAGCGUGAGAAACGCCACCAAAAUGGGAAUCUUAACCAUCGACCCUUACUACUUCUACAGAAACCUUCUCCUUUGUAUGGGACGACAUACAUUCUAGUUCAAAGCAGCCUCUCCCCCCCAGCUUGUUAACGUAUAUACCCGUAUUGUAAGCUGGACUUCAUGGCUUGAACUGAUUUCUAGCCAAAAGACUAUGCUCAAAGUAAAUGGAUAAAUCCAGGGAGUGCGUGUUUGUGUCACAGCUCCAAGAGGCGCAGUGGGGGUGUCCCUGGUCUCCAUCAGUACCAUAGACUGGGUUAUCAUGAGAAAUGACAUAAACUUUCUUUGAAGAUUUUUUGAUCUCAAGAAACUUGUUACUCGUUUCCCCAAGCCCUAUCCUGUUUUAUGUUUUCUGGCCGCCUGAUGGAUAAGUCGCAGUUGCUUAAUGACAUAAAACUAAUUUCUUCUAAAACAUUCCUGAUGAAUUGGUCUCAAAAUUUCUAUAAACACUUACUCUAGAGAGGAACUAUACGUUUUGGAGUAUGCAGCAUCCCCCCUCUGUAAAAUAGACAGAUCUUUCCACUGCAUUGUGUUUUAGUCACCGUUUUUGGAUACCCUUUAUCAAAAGAGCCAUUAAUGAGACUUUCCAAUUCUCUUUCUGUGGGCACAUAAUACACUCUAUGUCUUUAAUUAGCACCUUCAUUCCUCUCCCCCUUCCCCCUCUCCCAGGAAAAAGCCAAACCUUCUUCGCUACCAAAAUGGCCUGUCAAAACCUGACAACUGAAGUUCUGCCUUGUCAAUAUAAAAUUGUCUGUACCACUCUGUGUGCUGAAUAUUUGGGAUUGGUGCAAAAUAACGCACCAGCUGCAUUGUCUGUUUUCGUACUUUAUUCCAUUUCUGCUUAAUUUUGUCAGGGCUACUGAAGGAUUUCUGUAUUUUCCUGAGCUUUUGCUUUAGAAGACAGAUCGUGUUUCCUAAGGGACUCUGUGGAGUAUUGGUCUCUGUGGAUACAUAUAUGAAAAUUGUACUUGUGUAUCCAUUUCUAUACGCUUUCCUGUGUACAUUACUAAUUCAGAGGCACUGAGAACUUCUCUGUCAAAUGAUAUGUGAAUUCAAGCAUUGUUUUCCCCUCAGAAAAGGGAUUUUACUGGGAAUGCUGGCAGGCCCCUCACAACAGAAGGACGGGUGGGUGCUGCUACUGUAUAUAUCUGUUGUUGUCACAUUGGAUUUCGUGCAAUAAAAAUAAAACCCUUGGUCAGAAGUGUCAUAAAAGUUUGAUUGACUUUCCUCUUUAAUUGCUUAUCAUCUUUGAAGAGACUUCUUGGCAUUUAGAAACCAGUGAAUCUGUUUCUCAUUUCUUUAGGCUUUAUAAAUACGCCCUGUUUAUAUUAAAAUGAUAGACAAAUAUACAUAAAGCUGGAAAACAUGACCGCAAACUCUUUUC